UAUACUUCCCGCCUACGGAACGGCAGCACGCUAGUCGUUCCGGGACGGGAAGUAUAAC
rnacentral:pre_miRNA from 1 species